rnacentral:rRNA from 1 species
GUGGGGAAUAUUGGACAAUGGGCGCAAGCCUGAUCCAGCCAUGCCGCGUGAGUGAUGAAGGCCUUAGGGUUGUAAAGCUCUUUCACCGAUGAAGAUAAUGACGGUAGUCGGAGAAGAAGCCCCGGCUAACUUCGUGCCAGCAGCCGCGGUAAUACGAAGGGGGCUAGCGUUGUUCGGAUUUACUGGGCGUAAAGCGCACGUAGGCGGUUUGUUAAGUCAGGGGUGAAAUCCCGGAGCUCAACUCCGGAUCUGCCUUUGAUACUGGCAAGCUAGAGUCCGGAAGAGGUAAGUGGAACUCCUAGUGUAGAGGUGGAAUUCGUAGAUAUUAGGAAGAACACCAGUGGCGAAGGCGGCUUACUGGUCCGGAACUGACGCUGAGGUGCGAAAGCGUGGGGAGCAAACAGGAUUAGAAACCCUAGUAGUCC